CUGAAAUUGACUCUCUACAAAAAACCAUGGAGAUACAAGUUAUCCCCGCCCUCGAAGCUAACUAAACCCCCUGGGAGUAGUCCUGUCGUCAAAUACACGUCACAGAGAUCACCACAUAUAUCUAAGAAAAUUAUAUCGCCGAUGAAAACUUCGACACCUAUUAGACGAAAUCUGUUCGCCCAAAAUCACGAAAUAUUCGAAACAACACAGGCAGAUAUACAGAUGAUUCUAAAAACACAAAAUUUGAUAUUGUUUAAAUAUUUUGAUUUAUACAAUAAAUCACCAAAUAUUCUUUAUAUGAAUAAAG
rnacentral:lncRNA from 1 species